rnacentral:ncRNA from 2 species
CCUUCGCGACGUGUUUCAGGUGCCCUGUGACUGCAAGGUCGACCGGGUGAAACAGGGAAGCCGGUGCGACUCCGGCGCUGCCCCCGCAACGGUAAAUCGAGUCAAGACCGCGCAUGGCCACUGGGUGUUCGAACCCGGGAAGGCGCCCGGUCAGGAUCGCCCGGCGAUCCGCUCGUGAGCCCGGAGACCGGCCUGCAAACAGUCAACGGC